CUCGUUUGUAUCAGAUACGCGCUUUUACUUUCCGUAUGUUAACGGUGCUUCGCCUGUGAGUAGCUGUAAAAGAUUUUUAUUGUUGUUGUCG